rnacentral:rRNA from 3 species
AGACCCGAAACCCGGUGAUCUAGCCAUGGGCAGGUUGAAGGUUGGGUAACACUAACUGGAGGACCGAACCGACUAAUGUUGAAAAAUUAGCGGAUGACCUGUGGCUGGGGGUGAAAGGCCAAUCAAACCGGGAGAUAGCUGGUUCUCCCCGAAAGCUAUUUAGGUAGCGCCUCGUGAAUUCAUCUCCGGGGGUAGAGCACUGUUUCGGCUAGGGGGCCAUCCCGGCUUACCAACCCGAUGCAAACUGCGAAUACCGGAGAAUGUUAUCACGGGAGACACACGGCGGGUGCUAACGUCCGUCGUGAAGAGGGAAACAACCCAGACCGCCAGCUAAGGUCCCAAAGUCAUGGUUAAGUGGGAAACGAUGUGGGAAGGCCCAGACAGCCAGGAUGUUGGCUUAGAAGCAGCCAUCAUUUAAAGAAAGCGUAAUAGCUCACUGGUCGAGUCGGCCUGCGCGGAAGAUGUAACGGGGCUAAACCAUGCACCGAAGCUGCGGCAGCGAACGUAUCACUUAAAGCGAUUCAGCGGGUUACGAUUGACGGAGCGAAGCGACGUCAAAGCGUAUACAAAGUCGAGUCGGUUUAAGGA